UACGUAGGGGGCAAGCGUUGUCCGGAAUUAUUGGGCGUAAAGAGCGUGUAGGCGGUCCGGUAAGUCGGCUGUGAAAGUCCAGGGCUCAACCCUGGGAUGCCGGUCGAUACUGCCGGACUAGAGUUCGGAAGAGGUGAGUGGAAUUCCCGGUGUAGCGGUGAAAUGCGCAGAUAUCGGGAGGAACACCUAUGGCGAAGGCAGCUCGCUGGGACGUUACUGACGCUGAGACGCGAAAGCGUGGGGAGCAAACAGG
rnacentral:rRNA from 1 species